UUUAACGAGAGUUUGAUCCUGGCUCAGGAUGAACGCUGGCGGCGUGCUUAACACAUGCAAGUCGAGCGAAGCACUUUGGAAAGAUUCUUCGGAUGAUUUCCUUUGUGACUGAGCGGCGGACGGGUGAGUAACGCGUGGGUAACCUGCCUCAUACAGGGGGAUAACAGUUAGAAAUGACUGCUAAUACCGCAUAAGACCACGGUACCGCAUGGUACAGUGGUAAAAACUCCGGUGGUAUGAGA
rnacentral:rRNA from 1 species